AAGUCGUAACAAGGUUUCCGUAGGUGAACCUGCGGAAGGAUCAUUGAUGAAUAAAACCGGGGGCUUGCCCUGCACCGGCGGAGACGUCGUGUUGCGGGUGCUCCCAUUCCACACCCACACCCCUGUGCACCUUUGGGAAAGGCUGGUCGAGAGGCCGCCCGACCCGGUUUUUAACAAACGCUUUGCUCAAGUCAUAAGAAUGUCUGGCGGCUUGACCGUCCUAAAACUUAAAAUACAACUUUCAACAACGGAUCUCUUGGCUCUC
rnacentral:misc_RNA from 1 species